rnacentral:tRNA from 1 species
GUAACCAAAGUAGCCGUAGGGGAACCUGCGGCUGGAUCACCUCCUUUCUAAGGAUGAUCCUUCAGAUCAGCUCACGCUAUCUAUCGGAUCGUUUUAGAAACAUUCAGGGGCCAACAGUUUCAGGAUUGUUGAGCUCCAUUGGCGGGAUUUCGCCGUCUUCGUUUCUCUUUCUUCGCGGACGAACACGCGCCAGGGGCUGAGCGCUGUGCGGUGCACCGACUAAGCGUCGCGUGCGCGCCGGCAUGUCUCUCGUGUUAGGGGCUUGUAGCUCAGUUGGUUAGAGCGCGCGCUUGAUAAGCGUGAGGUCGGAAGUUCAAGUCUUCCCAGGCCCACCAUUUUGAUCGAGUGCGGAGCAUUCGUCUUCUGGUACGGGGCCAUAGCUCAGCUGGGAGAGCGCGUGCUUUGCAAGCAUGAGGUCGUCGGUUCGAUCCCGUCUGGCUCCACCAGAUGGUUUGAUCACCAACGGCGUUACCGUCGUCCGCGAAACAUCACUUCGCACUCAUUGGUCCGGAUGGACGGUGACGUGCGUGUUUUCUGACAUCGUAAAGAGGAGAUCGAUCCGAGUUUGGAUCAAGCGAAGCAAUUCGCCUGAGCCAUUCAUUAUCUCCGGGAUCAUUUCGGCGCUCGCUUUCAAUCGUGAGAUUGAAUGCGGGUUGUAAAUGAUCCCUUUUAGCGAAGCUUGACCGCCUCGCUAUCGGGCCGAUCUUACGAAGCAAGCUGGUCUUUCUAGUCAAUGUCCGGCUGCGCAAUCGCAUUCAUCGAGGAUGCGCGCCCUUCAGUGGCAAUUGUGCAGACAACAUUCUGCCGAGUGUGUGGACAUUGAUAAUGAGAGCAAUCAAGUGCCUUAAGGGUGUU